rnacentral:rRNA from 1 species
AGCUUGCUACCUGACCUAGCGGCGGACGGGUGAGUAAUGCUUAGGAAUCUGCCUAUUAGUGGGGGACAACAUUCCGAAAGGAAUGCUAAUACCGCAUACGCCCUACGGGGGAAAGCAGGGGAUCUUCGGACCUUGCGCUAAUAGAUGAGCCUAAGUCAGAUUAGCUAGUUGGUGGGGUAAAGGCCUACCAAGGCGACGAUCUGUAGCGGGUCUGAGAGGAUGAUCCGCCACACUGGGACUGAGACACGGCCCAGACUCCUACGGGAGGCAGCAGUGGGGAAUAUUGGACAAUGGGCGAAAGCCUGAUCCAGCCAUGCCGCGUGUGUGAAGAAGGCCUUUUGGUUGUAAAGCACUUUAAGCGAGGAGGAGGCUACUUGGAUUAAUACUCUAGGAUAGUGGACGUUACUCGCAGAAUAAGCACCGGCUAACUCUGUGCCAGCAGCCGCGGUAAUACAGAGGGUGCGAGCGUUAAUCGGAUUUACUGGGCGUAAAGCGUGCGUAGGCGGCUUUUUAAGUCGGAUGUGAAAUCCCUGAGCUUAACUUAGGAAUUGCAUUCGAUACUGGGAAGCUAGAGUAUGGGAGAGGAUGGUAGAAUUCCAGGUGUAGCGGUGAAAUGCGUAGAGAUCUGGAGGAAUACCGAUGGCGAAGGCAGCCAUCUGG